CUAAGACAUACAAACAUGUGUACACACACACACAAACACAGACAUGCACACACAUGUCUACUAACAUCUGUAAAGUGGGAAUUGAACUAAGAAAGUGCAAGUUAUCAUUCAGAGAACAGAUAAUCUGUAUGGCAAGAAACAGUGCAUAUAGAUAGAUGAAUGUUAAGUUUUAAAACUUUCACCAAGAGUACUAAAUUCACCUCUCUGGUUGUAGCAAGAUGUCUAGGUUGAAUUAAAAAACAUUGAUUCUUUAUCCCUCAUGUCAUAUUAUGCUUUGAAAAAUAAUCUGGGUACACCCAAAGGCCCAUGUAUUAAGUCUUGAACCUCAGAGUCUUAUAUAAAUGGAAUAAAGAUAGAGGUUACUUGACUUAGUGUCUCAAGGUGGGACCUGAAGAACUGAUUGCAUCAAAUUAGGCUGCUACAUACCCAUUAUCAAGUCAUGAUGACAUUAUAAAAUAGAACAGGGGCCGGCGCUAUGGCAUAGCAGGUAAAGCCAUCACUGGGAGUGCCGACAUCCUGCGUGAACUCUGGUUCAAGUCCUGGCUGCUGCUCUUCCGAUCCAGCUCUCUGCCAUGCCUGGGAAAGCUGUAGAAGAUGGCUCAAGUCCUUGGGCCCCUGCAUCCGUGUGGAAGACCUGGAAGAAUCUCCUGGCUCCUGGUUUCAGAUCGACACAUUGCAGCCAUCUAGGGAGUGAAUCAGUGGAUGGAAGACCUCUCUCUCUCUCUCUCUCUCUGCCUCUCCUUCUAUGUCUGUGUAACUCUAACUUUCAAAAUUAAUAACUCGUUUUUAAAAUAGGACAUAUAAAGUUGAAGAAUGUUCUCCCUGUGUCUGUCUGCUUCCUGGUUCACCAUGUGACCUUUCCCUCUGCCUUUGCUCUGCUCCUGGAAUCCUCCAGCCUCUCCAGACUGAUGAACUGACGCAGCCACCUGACCCAUUUUGAGCCUUCAAAAUGUUCCCGGUAGCUGCUGUGAAAGACCACACAGGUGCAAACAACCCAGGUUCAUAUUCCUCCUCUCUGUUUUUGUACCCUGCUAUCUUGAAGUCUCUAGGCCCCAAGAUUACAAAAUGCAGCUCUUCGGGAAGAUCUGCUCAGACUCGAAAAGUGAUUUGCAGCCGUUUUCUUCUCACAUUAAAGAAUCUCUCCGGCUCAGUUGCUUGAACCUUACAGUCGCUUCCAUGACGCCAGCACCGAGACUCCAGCUCCCUUCCAAGGCAUGAGUUGAGCCACUAAAUCCAGGUCAGUGGAUGAUACUCCGUCAGCAUCAGAGGAUUUUUUUCCUAGAUGACCAACAGUCUUCUUAGAAAACAGCUUCUCUUGCCUCUCUGAGUUACCCCCUCUUCACUUCUCCAUGUAACCAAGGUCCAGGAUGACACAGACAUCUGCAGAAUUAUCUCACAGAAGGCCCACACACUCAUGGUUGGUGAGGACAGUUACCUGAGAUCAUGCACCACACUGAGCUACAGCUCAUCUCCACUCCACACCAAAUAACAGAAAAUAAAAGCUGUCUGCUUGAUUUGAGAAGACA
rnacentral:lncRNA from 1 species